UAAAGGAAUUGGCGGGGGAGCACUACAAGGGGUGGAGCGUGCGGUUUAAUUGGAUUCAACGCCGGGAACCUCACCGGGGGCGACGGCAGGAUGAAGGCCAGGCUGAAGGUCUUGCCGGACACGCCGAGAGGAGGUGCAUGGCCGCCGUCAGCUCGUACCGUGAGGCGUCCAUUUAAGUGUGGUAACGAGCGAGACCCGCGCCCCCAGUUGCCAGUCCUCCCCGCUGGGGAGGAGGCACUCUGGGGGGACCGCCGGCGAUAAGCCGGAGGAAGGAGCGGGCGACGGUAGGUCAGUAUGCCCCGAAACCCCCGGGCUACACGCGCGCUACAAUGGGCGGGACAAUGGGAUCCGACCCCGAAAGGGGAAGGGAAUCCCCUAAACCCGCCCUCAGUUCGGAUCGCGGGCNGCAACUCGCCCGCGUGAAGCUGGAAUCCCUAGUACCCGCGUGUCAUCAUCGCGCGGCGAAUACGUCCCUGCUCCUUGCACACACCGCCA
rnacentral:rRNA from 1 species